GAUGAACGCUGGCGGCGUGCCUUAUACAUGCAAGUCGAGCGAACAGACGAGGAGCUUGCUCCUCUGACGUUAGCGGCGGACGGGUGAGUAACACGUGGAUAACCUACCUAUAAGACUGGGAUAACUUCGGGAAACCGGAGCUAAUACCGGAUAAUAUAUUGAACCGCAUGGUUCAAUAGUGAAAGACGGUUUUGCUGUCACUUAUAGAUGGAUCCGCGCCGCAUUAGCUAGUUGGUAAGGUAACGGCUUACCAAGGCAACGAUGCGUAGCCGACCUGAGAGGGUGAUCGGCCACACUGGAACUGAGACACGGUCCAGACUCCUACGGGAGGCAGCAGUAGGGAAUCUUCCGCAAUGGGCGAAAGCUUGACGGAGCAACGCCGCGUGAGUGAUGUAGGUCUUCGGAUCGUAAAACUCUGUUAUUAGGGAAGAACAAAUGUGUAAGUAACUAUGCACGUCUUGACGGUACCUAAUCAGAAAGCCACGGCUAACUACGUG
rnacentral:rRNA from 1 species